AGACCGUUGAGCAAACUGCUUUUAGAUCCUGAAACUGAAAUUAGGAUUUUGCUCAAGCCAUAUCUCCAACUUUUGAAUGAGGCAAAAGGAGUGAAAAGUGCAUGGAGCAGGGGGAGGAAGGUGACCACAACCCUUUCUGAAGAGAGAAGCGCUACUCUGUCUUGUCCCUGCAUGACCAUGUCUGCCCAAUGACACCGUGGUGAAACAAUUGUGUACUUGUGUACUUCAUUUUGGACCAAGCCUUCAGGAUUUGUACAACCAGACAUCUUUGGAAGAUCUCCUUCCUCUUCCUUUGCCAUACCUAGCUAACCUCUAUCUUCUGGAAAAAGAAAUAAGCAGCAGGAUUAGUCUCAAGAGAAGUAUGUUCUCACUGUUUAGAUGAGUUUGAGUCACACCACUCUUCAGUUUUGGAAAACAUCUUACAUUAGCAUCUUGCCUGGGAAGGUUCUCACCACAGCUAAGCCCAAGAACAUGAGCUUUGGCCCACUAGGUCUGUCCAGGCAAAUAUUCUUUCAUUAAUGUCAGUUCAAUUGCAGACUAGGUCUCGGGUUUCAAAUACUGAAAAAAGUGCACAUAGGAGGAAUAGUAGAAAAGAGAGGAAAUUGUAGGGCAAUUGUCCAAAAUAUAUAGAACAAAAUGUUAGGGAAAACAACUGUGGUGAAAAAAAAAAAAGAAGAACAAUAAGCAUGUAAUUAAUAUUCAACCUUUAAAACAAAAUCCCCAAAGUUCUACGGUCCUUACAUUCAAGACUGUGUGACCAUAUCAUAGAGAUGUAUCAGCUUCAGUCUGGAUUAUGUAGUUAUGUGUCCACUUUUAGACACAUUUAAA